rnacentral:rRNA from 1 species
UACGUAGGGUGCAAGCGUUGUCCGGAAUUAUUGGGCGUAAAGAGCUCGUAGGCGGUUUGUUGCGUCGGCUGUGAAAUCCCGAGGCUCAACCUCGGGUCUGCAGUCGAUACGAGCAAACUAGAGUGUUGCAGGGGAGACUGGAAUUCCUGGUGUAGCGGUGAAAUGCGCAGAUAUCAGGAGGGAACACCGGUGGCGAAGGCGGGGUCUCUGGGCAACAACUGACGCUGGAGGAGCGAAAGCGUGGGGAGCGAACAGG